rnacentral:lncRNA from 1 species
UUUUAAGCAACAUGAUUUCAUUUAUUCUUCUAUUUUCUUCUCUGUAGAGUUCUCUGUUCAAAAGAAAGAAGCUUAACCUGCCUUCUGAAUUCUGAGGUCAUACUGCACAGUGAUGCUCACAGUUUACGUGCAUAUCCACACGGCCCCUGCGCCCCCACAGCUCCACACACAUACACACGUUCUGGCAUACGGAGAACUUCAGAAACCCUGAUGCCUGGGAAGCCAUCCUCAUGGCAGGGUAGAUGGAACGAGCAAAUGUUAUCCACAGAGGACAUUGAAACCUUGUGUUGGACAGAGUUUUUCAAUCAAAGCUUUCUAGAAGUUUGGGCAAGACAUUUGAAGAGACCACAACCCAGUCCAAACAGAGACGUGACGGGUAAAAACCAAAGAGGUGUGACUAUUUAAAGGUGCCAAGAGAGAGCCACGGAGAGAUGCAUUUUCUCUUGAUUUUAUUUUUUUCUUAAACAUCUAUCAACCCUUAAACUGUUGAAAGAAUCAAUGUUUUCUUUUCGUCCCUGCCG